GCGCCCGUAGCUCAGUCGGAUAGAGCGGCGGUUUCCUAAACCGCAGGUCCCGCGUUCGAGUCGCGGCGGGCGUACCA
rnacentral:tRNA from 1 species